UGUCUGGCGGCAACAGCGCGGUGGUCCCACCUGACCCCAUGCCGAACUCAGAAGUGAAACGCCGUAGCGCCGAUGGUAGUGUGGGGUCUCCCCAUGCGAGAGUAGGGAACUGCCAGACUUU
rnacentral:rRNA from 1 species